AGGAUGAACGCUGGCGGUGUGCCUAAUACAUGCAAGUCGUACGGAAAGGCCCUUCGGGGUACUCGAGUGGCGGACGGCUGAGUAACGCGUGGGAACGUACCCUAAAGUGAGGAAUAACUGCCCGAAAGGGUGGCUAAUGCCGCAUAUGCUCUUCGGAGUAAAGCUUCGGCGCUUUGGGAGCGGCCCGCGUCCGAUUAGCUUGUUGGUAAGGUAAUGGCUUACCAAGGCGACGAUCGGUAGCUGGUCUGAGAGGAUGAUCAGCCAGACUGGGACUGAGAACGGCCCAGACUCCUACGGGAGGCAGCAGUAGGGAAUUUUCCACAAUGGGCGAAAGCCUGAUGGAGCAACACCGCGUGCAGGACGAAGGCCCUCGGGUCGUAAACUGCUUUUAUUUGUGACGAUUAUGACGGUAGCAGAUGAAUAAGGAUCGGCUAACUCCGUGCCAGCAGCCGC
rnacentral:rRNA from 1 species